rnacentral:rRNA from 1 species
GAAUUUUUCUCAAUGGGGGAAACCCUGAAGGAGCGACGCCGCGUGGAGGAUGAAGGUCUUCGGGUUGUAAACUCCUGUCAUUUGGGAACAAUGCGGACGUAUUAACUGUACGUUCGUUGAUAGUACCAGAAGAGGAAGAGACGGCUAACUCUGUGCCAGCAGCCGCGGUAAUACAGAGGUCUCAAGCGUUGUUCGGAUUCAUUGGGCGUAAAGGGUGCGUAGGUGGCGCCGUAAGUCAGGUGUGAAAUUUCGGAGCUUAACUCCGAAACUGCAUUUGAUACUGCGGUGCUUGAGGACUGGAGAGGAGACUGGAAUUUACGGUGUAGCAGUGAAAUGCGUAGAGAUCGUAAGGAAGACCAGUGGCGAAGGCGGGUCUCUGGACAGUUCCUGACACUGAGGCACGAAGGCCAGGGGAGCAAACGGG